CUGAGGUACUGACAGCUGCGUGUUAUGUUUCACUGGCGAGCUAGCCAUCCACCUUUUGCUUAGUUUAAGACCGAAUUUGAAUCUGGUUCCUGGAAGUCCUAAAGGUGCCCCUCCCUGUGUCCGUGCAGCCAGGUGACAGUGCUCCUGUUGGGGAUCAGCACCCUGACCCUCCAGUUCUACGUGCUGUUACGGCCCAGGUCCUCCCGGUUCUGCAGCCAGCCCCUCCUGGCCAACCUGGUCGGUAGCAUGGUCUUCACCCUGCUCACACUUGGGCUCUUUGUGCUGCUCACUCAGACGGAGCUGGCCCCAUUGGCUCUAAGGACAGCACUAGCGGUAUUUGGCGUGGCGUCCUUUGGUGAAGGAGUCUGCGCUGGGCUGUUAACACUCCUGGCUUCAGACUGCGAGAAAACCACCCCUGAACUUUACUAUGUAUCUGUGGUGCUGUCAGUGGGCAGCCUGGUAUCCACAGUGCUUUUUUCUGGCAUGGGGCUCAUCUGGCUGUCCAAAGUGACCUGCCCAAGGCCAGAUGCUAAGCCAACAGUCUGAAGCUAGCCCAUAGGUCCUGCUGGUUUCCUGCCUCAUUUACACACCUGGGCUGACUGAGUCCGCCCCAGCAUUACCACUGUGUACCGUCAAGCAUCUCACAAGAUGACCUCCUAGCUGCCAUUUCUACAUAAAAUGUCUGCUGUACAUCAUAACCACGCAAGAAGCAUGCCAAGACUAGCCAUCAUAGAAGUUGCU
ensembl:antisense